UACGUAGGGUGCAGGCGUUAAUCGGAAUUACUGGGCGUAAAGGGUGCGUAGGCGGGUCUUUAAGUCAGGGGUGAAAUCCUGGAGCUCAACUCCAGAACUGCCUUUGAUACUGAGGAUCUUGAGUUCGGGAGAGGUGAGUGGAACUGCGAGUGUAGAGGUGAAAUUCGUAGAUAUUCGCAAGAACACCAGUGGCGAAGGCGGCUCACUGGCCCGAUACUGACGCUGAGGCACGAAAGCGUGGGGAGCAAACAGG
rnacentral:rRNA from 1 species